GGACACUAAUCUUGUGAAGAGAAUAGGUGCAACCACUAUUGCUGAAGUCAGAGCUAUCGGAAUUUCAUAUGCAUUUGCUCCUUGUAUUGAUGUAAGUAUAAUAAAAUAUGUAAGUAUGUGUCUAUAAAGAACUGUUUUUAUAGGUAUGCAGAGAUCUAAUAUGCGGGCGUGCUAUGAGAGUUACAGUGAGGAUAAUGAACUUGUUCAAAGUAUGAAUAAGAUUGUAUUAGGAUUGCAAGGGCAUUCUGUAUCAAUACAGUGAUGACUUGCAAUAUAUACCUGGUGUGACCAGUUUUGCAUGUUUCUCCGGUUUUCAUGGUUGGUAACGGUUCCUCCACCAUGUGAGUUUCAGGCUUGGACCCAUGAAGCCCGAACCAAAACCACCAAAGGCAUCAGUUGCUCAAAAACGUCGAAGGUCGUUUAAGGUAGAGACGGUGAAACCGAAAGAGCUCGAGGAUACUGUUUCUAAAGAAAAGAUGGAAACCGAAAAGACGAUCGCUAAAAUGUUUGAUGUUCUAAAAAUCAACAAAAAAGUUCGUCUUGAGAACCUGCUUGGUGAAAGAUGGCCGGGUUGUGAUAACGGUGGAUGAUAAUGGCUGUCAUCAUGUUUGUAUGUCACAUUUCUUAACUAUGUUCACCACGGAAUGCUCCUGCUGCUUCCAUGAUUACAUCUAGGAAGGUGGUAUACUCACAAUUCAUCUUUAGGUUUGACUUCAGUGACUGGAAGGUACAUGGCUUGAAAUUCCAUCGCUUGAAGAACCUUUACUGUGAUCGAGGUUACGGAAACUGAGAGAUAUUUACACGUGGCAAGGAAGAGAAAGAAGACGAUCUUGGCUGUAGUUAUCAUGCACUUUGGAUAAUUUAGGGGGCAAGAAACAAGAAGGUGUUUGAAAAUCGACCAAUUUCGGUUACGAAGGCAACAGAAGAAAUUCAGGAAACCAACUUCCUUUGGCUUAAACAUCGGGCGAGAUGGAAGACAAUGACUUUUGAUGAGUGGUUAAAAUUUGAUGUAAACCUUUUCUACUCAGUUUUCGUUAUAUUGGUGUAAGCAUGGCCUCCGCUAGCACUUAUUUGGUUCGAGUUUUUUUUGCUUGGUUUUGGUGUUUUAUCGGAUGGCUUUGUUUGUUAAAAAAACUAACUUUCGAGAUCAAACUAAUCAUGUUUUUGCUAGA